CGGCCCUGGUUUAUCCUGGCUUCAAGGCAUCACAGUAUAAUAUUCACUGACAUGAAAGCUGAAGAAAGGAUGUCAUGGGAAGUCUGAGAGUCACGCUGUGAGAGGAUGCAAAAAACCCAAAAUGGAUGCAUUUUCACUCAGCUGCUUUGAAAGCAAAUGAGGCCAUUGCUGAAAAACUAUGCACAGGACCUGAAAGCUGAAAAAUUCUGAUCCAGAUUUCAAACACCAAGUGCUGAGGCUGUCCUGUUGGUGUUUACGUGGUGUCCUGGCUUGGGCUUGUUUCCAGCAGCAUUUUCAAGAGUUGUGGUUGGGCUACACAGCUCAGGAGCUGCAUCACUCAGACUGAUUUUCCAAAUGUUGAAGGAGCGAUGUAACACG
rnacentral:lncRNA from 1 species